CAGCAGCCGCGGUAAUGCGGAGGGUGCAAGCGUUAAUCGGAAUUACUGGGCGUAAAGCGUGCGUAGGCGGUUCGUUAAGUCUGUUGUGAAAGCCCCGGGCUCAACCUGGGAAUGGCAAUGGAUACUGGCGAGCUAGAGUGUGUCAGAGGAUGGUGGAAUUCCCGGUGUAGCGGUGAAAUGCGUAGAGAUCGGGAGGAACAUCAGUGGCGAAGGCGGCCAUCUGGGACAACACUGACGCUGAGGCACGAAAGCGUGGGGAGCAAACAGGAUUAGAUACCCCAGUAGUCCCUGUCUCUUAUAC
rnacentral:rRNA from 1 species